AUUGAACGCUGGCGGCAUGCCUUACACAUGCAAGUCGAACGGCAGCACGGGAGCAAUCCUGGUGGCGAGUGGCGAACGGGUGAGUAAUAUAUCGGAACGUGCCCAGUCGUGGGGGAUAACGCAGCGAAAGCUGUGCUAAUACCGCAUACGAUCUAUGGAUGAAAGCGGGGGAUCGCAAGACCUCGCGCGAUUGGAGCGGCCGAUAUCAGAUUAGCUAGUUGGUGAGGUAAAGGCUCACCAAGGCGACGAUCCGUAGCUGGUCUGAGAGGACGACCAGCCACACUGGAACUGAGACACGGUCCAGACUCCUACGGGAGGCAGCAGUGGGGAAUUUUGGACAAUGGGCGCAAGCCUGAUCCAGCAAUGCCGCGUGCAGGAUGAAGGCCUUCGGGUUGUAAACUGCUUUUGUACGGAACGAAACGGUCUUUCCUAAUACGAGAGGCUAAUGACGGUACCGUAAGAAUAAGCACCGGCUAACUACGUGCCAGCCGCCGCGGUAA
rnacentral:rRNA from 1 species